rnacentral:tRNA from 1 species
GGACCGAUGGCGAAGUGGUUAACGCGCUGGUCUGCAAAACCAGUACUCAUGGGUUCAAAUCCCAUUCGGUCCUCCA